GAUAUGGUAGUUUAAAAAAAACAUUAAAUUGUAAAUUUAAAAUUAUUGACUUUCAUAUUA
rnacentral:tRNA from 1 species